GGUGGCUUUGAUGAUUUCCUAAAAGAUCAAGCUCAACAGACCGGAAUGCAGGUUUCUUUUUGAAACUUGCGUGUCGAUUACUUUCGAAACUGAGCCAUC